rnacentral:rRNA from 1 species
UUUAAUUCGAAGCAACGCGAAGAACCUUACCAGGUCUUGACAUCCCGAUGCUAUUCUAGAGAUAGAAAGUUACUUCGGUACAUCGGUGACAGGUGGUGCAUGGUUGUCGUCAGCUCGUGUCGUGAGAUGUUGGGUUAAGUCCCGCAACGAGCGCAACCCCUAUUGUUAGUUGCCAUCAUUCAGUUGGGCACUCUAGCGAGACUGCCGGUAAUAAACCGGAGGAAGGUGGGAUGACGUCAAAUCAUCAUGCCCCUUAUGACCUGGGCUACACACGUGCUACAAUGGUUGGUACAACGAGUUGCGAGUCGGUGACGGCGAGCUAAUCUCUUAAAGCCAAUCUCAGUUCGGAUUGUAGGCUGCAACUCGCCUACAUGAAGUCGGAAUCGCUAGUAAUCGCGGAUCAGCACGCCCGCGGUCGAAUACGUUCCCGGGCCUU